rnacentral:misc_RNA from 1 species
UCCGGUUUAACACCGGCAGUCUCUCCAGAGUUCCCGGCAUAACCCGCUGGUAACUGGAGACAAGGGUUUCGCUCGUUAAGCGACUUAACGCGACAUCUCACGACACGAGCUGACGACAGCCAUGCAGCACCUGUGUAAAGGCUCCCUUGCGGGCACUCCCAACUUUCAUCGGGAUUCCUAAACAUGUCAAGACUAGGAUAAGGUUCUUCGCGUAGCCUCGAAUUGAGCCACAUCCUCCACCGCUUGUGUGAGCCCCCGUCAAUUCCUUUGAGUUUCAGCCUUGCGGCCAUACUCCCCAGGCGGAACACUUAACGCUUUCGCUACGACCGAAAUCCUGUGAGGGGGACUUCGAUCUAGUGUUCAUCGUUUAAGGCUAGGACUAC